AUCUGAUGAUGAGGGCAGCUAGCACACAACCUCUUAAAUCUCUCCCAAUACUCAUACAAAGACUCUCCUGUAUACUGCCUUAUACCACAGAUCUCCUUCCUGAUGCU